ACUUUGUGGUUCUGGUCACCAGGUACAUGAGGUAGUCAGUCACUCUCCAGGGUGACUUUGUGGUUCUGGUCACCAGGUACAUGAGGUAGUCAGUCACUAUCCAGAGUGACUGUGGUUCUGGUCACCAGGUACAUGAGGUAGUCAGUCACUAUCCAGAGUGACUUUGUGGUUCUGGUCACCAGGUACAUGAGGUAGUCAGUCACUCUCCAGAGUGACUUUGUGGUUCUGGUCACCAGGUACAUGAGGUAGUCAGUCACUCUCCAGAGUGACUUUGUGGUUCUGGUCACCAGGUACAUGAGGUAGUCAGUCACUCUCCAGAGUGACUUUGUGGUUCUGGUCACCAGGUACAUGAGGUAGUCAGUCACUCUCCAGAGUGACUUUGUGGUUCUGGUCACCAGGUACAUGAGGUAGUCAGUCACUAUCCAGAGUGACUUUGUGGUUCUGGUCACCAGUCAGUCACUCUCCAGAGUGACUUUGUGGUUCUGGUCACCAGGUACAUGAGGUAGUCAGUCACUCUCCAGAGUGACUUUGUGGUUCUGGUCACCAGGUACAUGAGGUAGUCAGUCACUCUCCAGAGUGACUGUGGUUCUGGUCACCAGGUACAUGAGGUAGUCAGUCACUCUCCAGAGUGACUUUGUGGUUCUGGUCACCAGGUACAUGAGGUAGUCAGUCACUCUCCAGAGUGACUGUGUUUCUGGUCACCAGGUACAUGAGGUAGUCAGUCACUCUCCAGAGUGACUGUGGUUCUGGUCACCAGGUAUGUUACUGCUGUGUGAAAGAGUAUAAAACAGUGUUGU